rnacentral:tRNA from 3 species
GGGCCUAUAGCUCAGUUGGUUAGAGCAUCCGACUCAUAAUCGGCAGGUCACUGGUUCAAGUCCAGUUGGGCCCACCA